rnacentral:rRNA from 1 species
UACAGAGGGUGCGAGCGUUAAUCGGAAUUACUGGGCGUAAAGCGUGCGCAGGCGGUUAUGUAAGACAGAUGUGAAAUCCCCGGGCUCAACCUGGGAACUGCAUUUGUGACUGCAUAGCUAGAGUACGGUAGAGGGGGAUGGAAUUCCGCGUGUAGCAGUGAAAUGCGUAGAUAUGCGGAGGAACACCGAUGGCGAAGGCAAUCCCCUGGACCUGUACUGACGCUCAUGCACGAAAGCGUGGGGGAGCAAACAGG